rnacentral:lncRNA from 1 species
GCAAUGUAAUCCUCUGUGAUGUGGUGAGAUGAGUCCAUGAACAGUGGCUGAUGAAGGCAGUGGAUACGGCCCUUGUUUGCGGAGGAAUGGAAAAAUAGCUUGGGUCAGUGAUGCAAAGUUCAGGCAUAGGUUAAGAAGUACUAAACAAAGUCACUGAUUUUCUUCGUUCAUCAUCAUUCUCAGAUAAAUGCACUGGAUCUUGUAUUCUCCCCAACCUUGUUUUGUCCUGCUGAACUGAUAAAAACAACAUAGGAAAGACUGAUACGAAUUAAAAGAGCCRGUAGUAGCCAAAAUCUUCUGAACUGAGC